UUCCGGUUGAUCCUGCCGGAGGUCACUGCUAUUGGGAUUCGACUAAGCCAUGCGAGUCGAGAGGGUUCGGCCCUCGGCUGACGGCUCAGUAACACGUGGAUAAUCUGCCCUAUGGUGGAGGAUAACCUCGGGAAACUGAGAAUAAUACUCCAUAGGUCUAGGAUGCUGGAAUGCACCUAGGCUCAAAACUCCGGUGCCAUAGGAUGAGUCUGCGGACUAUCAGGUUGUAGUCAGGGUAAAGACCUGACUAGCCUACGACGGAUAUGGGUUGUGAGAGCAAUAACCCAGAGAUGAUAUCUGAGACACGAUAUCAGGCCCUACGGGGCGCAGCAGGCGCGAAAACUUCACAAUGUGCGAAAGCGCGAUGAGGGAAUCCCAAGUGCUUGCACGUAAGUGUAAGCUGUUUUUAUGUUUAAAACGCAUGGAGAGUAAGAGCUGGGUAAGACGGGUGCCAGCCGCCGCGGUAAUACCUGCAGCUCAAGUGGUGGCCACUAUUAUUGGGCCUAAAACGUCCGUAGCCUGUUUAAUAAAUGCCUGGGUAAAUCGUGUAGCUUAACUAUACGAAUUCCGGGUAGACUGUUAAACUUGAGACCGGGAGAAGUUAGAGGUACUCCUGGGGUAGAGGUGAAAUUCUGUAAUCCUAGGGGGACCACCAGUGGCGAAGGCGUCUGACUAGAACGGGUCUGACGGUGAGGGACGAAGCCCUGGGGCGCAAACCGGAUUAGAUACCCGGGUAGUCCAGGGUGUAAACGCUGCUUGCUUGAUGUUAGUCGGGCUCCGAGCCCGAUUAGUGUCGGAGAGAAGUUGUUAAGCAAGCUGCCUGGGAAGUACGGUCGCAAGGCUGAAACUUAAAGGAAUUGGCGGGGGAGCACAGCAACGGGUGGAGCGUGCGGUUUAAUUGGAUUCAACGCCGGG
rnacentral:rRNA from 1 species